UACGAGGGGUGCAAGCGUUGCUCGGAAUUAUUGGGCGUAAAGGGUAGGUAGGUGGUCUCAUUUGUCUGGGGUGAAAGCCUUGGGCUUAACCCAAGAAGGGCCCCGGAAACGGUGAGACUUGAGUCCUGGAGAGGGUCGUGGAAUUCCCGGUGUAGCGGUGAAAUGCGUAGAGAUCGGGAGGAACACCAGCGGCGAAGGCGGCGACCUGGACAGGCACUGACACUCAACUACGAAAGCGUGGGGAGCAAAC
rnacentral:rRNA from 1 species